rnacentral:rRNA from 1 species
UACGGAGGGUGCAAGCGUUAUCCGGAUUCACUGGGUUUAAAGGGUGCGUAGGUGGGCAGGUAAGUCAGUGGUGAAAUCUCCGGGCUUAACUCGGAAACUGCCGUUGAUACUAUCUGUCUUGAAUAUCGUGGAGGUUAGCGGAAUAUGUCAUGUAGCGGUGAAAUGCUUAGAUAUGACAUAGAACACCCAUUGCGAAGGCAGCUAACUACACGAUCAUUGACACUGAGGCACGAAAGCGUGGGGAGCGAACAGG